rnacentral:lncRNA from 1 species
CAGAGGCCAUCUCUCUUCCUCCAGCUCUGCUUCUGUUUCCUCCCUCCUGUUCCUUCCCUGCUAAACUACCCAAUCCCUAAGCCUCAGGGGAAGCCAAGGAAAGUAAGCCCCUGUGCAGGACAGACUUGGUGUGAGAGCCCCUGUAGCCCAGGGAGGGCUUCCUCUUCCAGGGCAGCUCGGCUCGGGGUGUGGAGGAGCCUCAGACCUUCUGCAUGAGAAGACCACCCGGGGGGAACCUCACAGCUCCAGCAGACGAAGAGCCCACCGAGGAAGCAGCCCCUGGACGGGGAGCCCAGCAGGAAUGGGGGGGACUGAGGAGAGAGGAAGGACUUCUGCACCAGGCUGGGGUACACCCCUACUCCAGUCAGGAGGCCAAGUCUGGUGAGAAGGGCUUCCACACCAGGAAGGUAGCAGCAGCCAUGAAAAAUCAGCUCCACCGGGAGAUGGAUCAGUGUGAAAAAACAGAUCCAAGUUGGACCAUAGGACUCAAGCCCCUGCCCCCAGCCACCUGCCCUCGGCUCACAGGUACAGAGAAGUCCGCAGAAGUCGUUCAGUGAACUGCUGCUGCUUCCUGCCCGCUGAGCUUUGUACUUUGAUGAUGUCCUUUCUGCUUAGUUUUGUGUUCGUUGCCAUGAGCCAUUGCCAAGAGCAAUGCUGUGAUGCCUUUCCCCUGUGUCUUGCACCAGGGUUAUUUAGACUUGAUGUUUGUGCACAGCGUACAUUAAAGAUCCAAUUUCAUUCUUCUGCAUGCAGAUAUCCAGUUUUCUCAGUAUCCUCUACUG